ACUCCUACGGGAGGCAGCAGUGGGGAAUAUUGGACAAUGGGCGAAAGCCUGAUCCAGCAAUGCCGCGUGAGUGAUGAAGGCCUUAGGGUUGUAAAGCUCUUUUACCCGGGAUGAUAAUGACAGUACCGGGAGAAUAAGCUCCGGCUAACUCCGUGCCAGCAGCCGCGGUAAUACGGAGGGAGCUAGCGUUAUUCGGAAUUACUGGGCGUAAAGCGCACGUAGGCGGCUUUGUAAGUUAGAGGUGAAAGCCUGGAGCUCAACUCCAGAAUUGCCUUUAAGACUGCAUCGCUUGAAUCCAGGAGAGGUGAGUGGAAUUCCGAGUGUAGAGGUGAAAUUCGUAGAUAUUCGGAAGAACACCAGUGGCGAAGGCGGCUCACUGGACUGGUAUUGACGCUGAGGU
rnacentral:rRNA from 1 species